UAAUAAGUGUUUUAUGGCACUUUUUAAAUCCAUAUCCACCUUGUGUGCAAUGUCAGUCGAUCUUCUUUUAUGGAGGAUCGACCAAACAUCAACCUUUAUCUUUUAACAUCUUUGUCUGAAAAAUAUUAUGAAUAAACAAUUCAAAAUA
rnacentral:misc_RNA from 1 species